GCUAUACUAUCAGUAGUACAGAGGUCUCCAUGCUGCAUUCAAAGUUGUUUUCAAUGAUGCUUGCUUCGAAAUCAAUGAUCGGCUUCGUUAGAUUUGAUUUACACUAUUGAAAGUAUUUGAAAACUAAAUUUUUAUAAUUUUUCGACAUUAUUUGGCUAGUGAUCAAAAGGUCUCAAAAUUGACAAUUUUAAUGGUCGAUGUGAUACGUUUGUUAAUUUAACGGUGUAAAACAAUUCAAAUCUGAUGAUAUUUUUGUAGAAUUUUUUUUUUCACUAUCUAGAGUAAAAUCAGUACUUCUGAUUUUAAAUUUAAGUCUUUUAUCAUCAUUUUUUUAUAAAAUUUUUAUUUUCAGUAGUUCAUUUUUAGACUACUCGUUUGAUAAGUAAAUAAUGUCGAAAAAUUAUAAAACUUACUUUUCACAUACUUUUAAUAUUAUAUAUAAAGUUUAACAGAGCCGACCGUCGAUUUGGAUGCUGCAUUAUUGAAAACAACUUAGUAGCACCGAGGCGUCCGUAUUACUGAUAGUACAGCAGUCGGACUCCAAUCUUGAUG
rnacentral:lncRNA from 1 species